GCCGAAGUGGUGGAAUUGGUAGACACGCCAUCUUGAGGGGGUGGUGAGAUUUAUCUCGUGCGGGUUCAAGUCCCGCCUUCGGCACCA
rnacentral:tRNA from 1 species